ensembl:lncRNA
CAGGUAGGGUGUGUGCAGACUGUCUGAUGUAUAUACGUACAGGUAGGGUGUGUGCAGACUGUCUGAUGUAUAUACGUACAGGUAGGGUGUGUGCAGACUGUCUGAUGUAUAUACGUACAGGUAGGGUGUGUGCAGAAUGUCUGAUGUAUAUACGUACAGGGUUUGUUUUCUGCUGUAUUGACCUGACAUCGACCUGCUUCACUGUUUGGCCAAAGUUUCACUUUGUUUCACUGAGACCUGGUGGAAGCUGUAUUGGUUCUUAAAGGCUUCUGAGACCCCUUUGUUUGAGUUCUAUGAAUUCGCUGGGAGGGGUUUCAGUGUGUUUGACGCUAGUUAAGCCAAACGCAAGCAACCAGAGAGCCUCAUUACCUUCUUCCCCUUUCUCUAAGCUCAGGAUCGUAAUGAAAGCAUUGUGGGGAAGGCAGAUCUCACCGAUUAUAGCCCCAGCCUUUUCCCUAAGAAUGGCUGCCAGGAUAAGUGGAUCUGGUUCCUCGCAGAUUAGAGACGGACACGGUGGUCAAGUGAAGAUUUUGACAGUUGGAGAAAAGGCGCCUUUAUUUAUUUAUAUUUUAAAGCUACGAAGCGGCUAGCUGGCGUCUUAUCGCGACAAUGGCGAGCGCGAGAU